rnacentral:rRNA from 1 species
GGUUUGGGUGGCGGACGGGUGAGUAACGCGUAAAGAACUUGCCUCACAGUUAGGGACAACAUUUGGAAACGAAUGCUAAUACCUGAUAUUAUGAUUUUAGGGCAUCCUAAGAUUAUGAAAGCUAUAUGCGCUGUGAGAGAGCUUUGCGUCCCAUUAGCUAGUUGGAGAGGUAACGGCUCACCAAGGCGAUGAUGGGUAGCCGGCCUGAGAGGGUGAACGGCCACAAGGGGACUGAGACACGGCCCUUACUCCUACGGGAGGCAGCAGUGGGGAAUAUUGGACAAUGGACCAAAAGUCUGAUCCAGCAAUUCUGUGUGCACGAUGACGUUUUUCGGAAUGUAAAGUGCUUUCAGUUGGGAAGAAAAAAAAUGACGGUACCAACAGAAGAAGUGACGGCUAAAUACGUGCCAGCAGCCGCGGUAAUACGUAUGUCACAAGCGUUAUCCGGAUUUAUUGGGCGUAAAGCGCGUCUAGGUGGUUAUGUAAGUCUGAUGUGAAAAUGCAGGGCUCAACUCUGUAUUGCGUUGGAAACUGCAUGACUAGAGUACUGGAGAGGUAAGCGGAACUACAAGUGUAGAGGUGAAAUUCGUAGAUAUUUGUAGGAAUGCCGAUGGGGAAGCCAGCUUACUGGACAGAUACUGACGCUAAAGCGCGAAAGCGUGGGUAGCAAACAGGAUUAGAUACCCAGGUAGUCCACGCCGUAAACGAUGAUUACUAGGUGUUGGGGGUCGAACCUCAGCGCCC